GUAGCGUGAAGGAUGACUGCCCUAUGGGUUGUAAACUUCUUUUAUAAAGGAAUAAAGUCGGGUAUGCAUACCCGUUUGCAUGUACUUUAUGAAUAAGGAUCGGCUAACUCCGUGCCAGCAGCCGCGGUAAUACGGAGGAUCCGAGCGUUAUCCGGAUUUAUUGGGUUUAAAGGGAGCGUAGAUGGAUGUUUAAGUCAGUUGUGAAAGUUUGCGGCUCAACCGUAAAAUUGCAGUUGAUACUGGGUGUCUUGAGUACAGUAGAGGCAGGCGGAAUUCGUGGUGUAGCGGUGAAAUGCUUAGAUAUCACGAAGAACUCCGAUUGCGAAGGCAGCUUGCUGGACUGUAACUGACGCUGAUGCUCGAAAGUGUGGGUAUCAAACAGGAUUAGAUACCCUGGUAGUCCACACAGUAAACGAUGAAUACUCGCUGUUUGCGAUAUACAGUAAGCGGCCAAGCGAAAGCGUUAAGUAUUCCACCUGGGGAGUACG
rnacentral:rRNA from 1 species